UCAAGCUACUAAGGGCGUACGGUGGAUGCCUUGGCACCAGGAGUCGAUGAAGGACGCGGUAAGCUGCGAUAAGCUUCGGUGAGCUGCAAACAGGCGUUGACCCGGAGAUUUCCGAAUGGGGAAACCCACCGAGGGUAAUGCCUCGGUAUCCUCAGCUGAAUACAUAGGUUGAGGAAGACAACGCAGGGAAGUGAACCAUCUCAGUACCUGCAGGAACAGAAAACAAUAGUGAUUCCGCUAGUAGCGGCGAGCGAACGCGGAAAAGCCCAAACCGACGUGCUUGCAUGUCGGGGUUGUAGGGCCUGCCAGGCCGUAAGGCCGGCGAGUAAAAAACCAGCCCGUUAGUCGAACGACUUGGAACGGUCGGCCAUAGACGGUGACAGCCCGGUAGACGAAAACAGGCUGGCUCGCUGGGUAGGUUCCUGAGUAGCGCGGGACACGUGGAAUCCCGUGUGAACCUAGGAGGACCAUCUCCUAAGGCUAAAUACUCCCUGGUGACCGAUAGUGAACCAGUACCGUGAGGGAAAGGUGAAAAGAACCCCUGUUAGGGGAGUGAAAUAGUACCUGAAACCGUAUGCCUACAAGCAGUGGGAGGGCUAUGACUGAGGGUUCGCCCUCGGUAAGGCCUGACCGCGUGCCUUUUGCAUAAUGAGCCGGCUAGUUACUCUCCGUGGCAAGGUUAAGCGUAAGCGAGCCGUAGCGAAAGCGAGUCUAAAAUGGGCGUCCAGUCAUUGGGAGUAGACGCGAAGCGAGGUGAUCUACCCUUGGCCAGGGUGAAGCGCGGGUAACACCGCGUGGAGGCCCGAACCAGUGUCGGUUGAAAACGACUUGGAUGAGCUGAGGGUAGGGGUGAAAGGCUAAUCAAACCUCGUGAUAGCCCGUUCUCCUCGAAAUGCUUUUAGGAGCAGCCUCGAGAGGUCGGCGUUGGUGGUAGGGCUCUGGAUGGACUAGGGGGCUUAACAGCUUACUGAAUCCAACCAAACUUCGAAUGCCAACGACACGCAUCUCGGGAGUGAGACCAUGGGGGCUAAGCUUCAUGGUCGAGAGGGAAACAGCCCAGACUACCGGCUAAGGUCCCUAAAUCUGUGCUAAGUGGAAAAGGAACUGGAGACGCCGAAACAGCCAGGAGGUUGGCUUAGAAGCAGCAAUCCUUUAAAGAAAGCGUAAUAGCUCACUGGUCAAGCGGCUCUGGGCCGACAAUGUAACGGGGCUCAAGCACAGUACCGAAGCCGUAGAUUCGACGGGUCUCUUGAGGCCCGCGAGUGGUAGAGGAGCGUUCUCUAUGCAGUGAAGGUGGACCGAGAGGACCACUGGAGCGUAGAGAAGUGACCCUGCCGGCAUAAGUAGCGAUAAGAGUGGUGAGAAUCCACUCCGCCGAAAACCUAAGGUUUCCUGAGGAAGGUUCGUCCGCUCAGGGUUAGUCGGGUCCUAACGCGAGGCCGAAAGGCGUAGCGGAUGGAUAUCCGGUCAACAUUCCGGAACUACCUAAACAACGUUUGUACGAUGGGGGGACGCAGGAGGCUAGCCCAGCCUACGAUCGGAAGUGUAGGUUCAGGCAUGUAGGGGGAGUCGCUAGGAAAAUCCGGUGACUCAUAUACCCUGAGGUGCUAUGGCGAGGCCGUCAGGCCGCAAAGUGGGCGACGCCACGCUGCCAAGAAAAGCCUCUAAGGAGUUGUUUGGGUACCCGUACCGCAAACCGACACAGGUAGGUGGGGAGAAAAUCCUCAGGCGCGAGUGAGAACCCUCGUUUAGGAACUCGGCAAACUCGCCCCGUAACUUCGGAAGAAGGGGUGCUCCAGCUCGUGAUCCGGUUCGCCCGGUGAGCGGGAAGGAGUUGCAAUAAAGAGGCCCAGGCGACUGUUUACUAAAAACACAGGACUCUGCUAAGUCAAAAACGACGUAUAGGGUCUGACGCCUGCCCGGUGCCGGAAGGUUAAAAGGAGGGGUCAACCUCUUUUCGAAGAGGUGAAGCUCUGAAUUGAAGCCCCGGUAAACGGCGGCCGUAACUAUAACGGUCCUAAGGUAGCGAAAUUCCUUGUCGGGUAAGUUCCGACCUGCACGAAUGGCGCAACGAUCUGGGCGCUGUCUCAACGAGGGACACUGCGAAUUUGUGGUACCGGUGAAGACGCCGGUUACCCGUGGUAAGACGGAAAGACCCCGUGCACCUUUACUACAGCUUAGUAGUGAGUGUUGGUGUGUUAUGCGCAGGAUAGGUGGGAGACUUUGAACCGGGCUUCUUGGGGUCCGGGGAGUCGUCGGUGAGAUACCACCCUUAGCGCCCCGGCGCUCUAACCUCGGCCUGUCAUCCAGGUCAGGGACACUGCUUGGUGGGUAGUUUGACUGGGGCGGUCGCCUCCCAAAAUGUAACGGAGGCGCACGAAGGUUCGCUCAGGCUGUUUGGAAAUCAGCCGGAGAGUGCAAAGGCAGAAGCGAGCUUGACUGCGAGACAAACAAGUCGAGCAGGUGGGAAACCAGGUCUUAGUGAUCCGGUGGCUCCGAAUGGAAGGGCCAUCGCUCAACGGAUAAAAGGUACGCCGGGGAUAACAGGCUUAUCUUGGCCAAGAGUUCAUAUCGACGCCAAGGUUUGGCACCUCGAUGUCGGCUCAUCACAUCCUGGAGCUGUAGCAGGUUCCAAGGGUUCGGCUGUUCGCCGAUUAAAGUGGUACGUGAGCUGGGUUUAGAACGUCGCGAGACAGUUCGGUCCCUAUCUACCACGGGCGCAGGAGAUUUGAGGGGGGCUGUCCUUAGUACGAGAGGACCGGGAUGGACGAACCUCUAGUGUACCAGUUGUCGCGCCAGCGGCAGUGCUGGGUAGCUACGUUCGGAAGGGAGAAACGCUGAAAGCAUCUAAGCGUGAAACCUUCCCCAAGAUGAGAUCUCCCUGAGCUUCGGCUCCUGAAGGCUCCUGGAAGACUACCAGGUGAUAGGCCAGAUGUGUAAGGCUUGCGAGAGCUUUAGCUAACUGGUACUAAUCAGCCGUGAGGCUUGACCAU
rnacentral:rRNA from 1 species